rnacentral:rRNA from 1 species
GACAGAGGUGCCGAGCGUUAGGCGGAAUCAUUGGGCUUAAAGCGUGUGUAGGCGGGCGGGCAAGUACCUUGUGAAAUCCCACGGCUCAACCGUGGAACGGCUGGGUAUACUGCCUGUCUUGAGCCAACUAGGGGCGAGCGGAACAGACGGUGGAGCGAUGAAAUGCGUAGAUAUCGUCUGGAACGCCGAAGGUGAAAACAGCUCGCUGGGGUUGUGCUGACGCUGAGACACGAAAGCCAGGGGAGCGAACGGG